rnacentral:misc_RNA from 1 species
ACAACCGUUUACCAACGUCAGUCGAACGUCGCCGUCCGCGAUGGACGUAUGUGCCGGGCUCGCACAACACAAAGCUGUGUUACUCCGCGAACUAUGCGACACCAACGUGUUGGAUGUGUUGGUCAAGAAAGGUAUAUUCAACGUGCACGACCUAGAAGUGAUAACCAGUGCGUUGGACAGUGAUAAGUGCAAUUACUUCAUAGAAGUUGUUGGUAAACAAAACGCGGGGAAGCUGAAAGAUCUGUGCGCGGUACUUUAUGACGAAUGCCCGAAAUUGGCUAAGGAACUUAUGAACGAUAGACGAUAUGUUAUAAAUGGAUACAACAGCAAUACCAAAGAAAACAUGGUGAUAAAUCAUAAUUUAAAUAGAGAAUCUCCCCGCUCUCGCCGUUCCGUGUCGCAAUGCUCCUGCAACAGCAUAUCCCGUCGCUCGUCGGCGGCCGCCUCCCCCAUGCCGCUGCCGCCGCUCAACAACACCAUGGAGAUGUACGUCGAGCCCGUCGUCGAAAACACAACAGAACGUAACUCCGGCUGGGAGACUCACAGGGUGCGGCUGAACCGCGUGCCGGGCUACGGGUUCGGCAUCGCCGUGUCGGGCGGCAGGGACAACCCGCACUUCGCCAGCGGGGACCCCUCCAUCGCCGUGUCAGACGUGUUGCGCGGUGGACCGGCCGAGGAUAAACUGCAAGUGAACGACAGGAUAGUGUCAGUGAACGGCGUGCCGCUGGAGAAUGUGGAGUACGCGCGCGCCGUGCAAGUGCUACGCGAGUCAGGCGCCACGGUCUCGCUCGUGGUGCGACGCCGAGCACCAGCGCCGCCGCCCACCGCGCCCACGGCCAUCAAACUCGCGCUCACGAGGAACGGGAAGAAGGAAGACUUCGGUAUAGUACUAGGCUGUAAAAUCUACGUCAAAGAGCUAACAAUGAGGGCGAGAGAACAGUUUAACCAGGCGGGACAGGGUCUCUGCGAGGGUGACGUCAUCACCAGGAUAAACAACACGGCGGUCACUGACGCGAUGACCUUGAAGGAGGCGAGGAAGCUGGUGGAGUCCUGCAAAGAUCGCCUCAACUUGGUGAUAACGAGGGAACUGAUCAGGGAGGAGACUGUCACAAAUGGGAAUUACCAGAAUAAUUAUAGUAGUUUAGAAGCAACCCCUCACACAACGUUCCCCAACACCGGAGAAGCCAUGUCCAGCCCAUACUCCAGCAGCGGACAGAACCUCUACGUCGCCGCACCAGUCAGAGGCGCCGACAACAGACGAGGCCCUCCCUCACACGAGGAACACCCUCCCCGACCCCCUCCGCCUAGGAAUGAUGACUACUACAGCAGUAGAAGGCAACUUUAUGAAGAAGAUGGAAUGACAAAUCAGAGAAAUAAGCCUCCGAGCGAACCACGGUUAAUAAGUUUUCAAAAGGAAGGCUCGGUAGGGCUCCGGUUGUGUGGAGGCAACCGCUCGGGGGUGUUCGUGUCCGGGGUGCAGCCCACCAGCCCCGCCGCGCUGCAGGGCCUGCAGCCUGCUGACAAGAUACUUAAAGUGAACGACAUGGAGAUGAAGGGCGUGACGCGCGAGGAGGCGGUGCUGUUCCUGCUGAGCCUGCAGGAGCGGAUAGACCUCAUCGUGCAGCACUCGCCCGACGAGUACAACGCCGUCGCCAGCGGACAGAUGCCGGGAGACUCGUUCCACAUCAAGACGCACUUCCACUACACGGAGCCGACGGAGGGCGAGAUGUCGUUCCGCUGCGGCGACGUGUUCCACGUGCUGGACACGCUGCACAACGGCACCGUCGGCGCCUGGCACGUCUACCGGAUAGGUCGGAACAACCAGGAAGUACAAAAAGGCACGAUACCAAACAAAGCCCGCGCCGAGGAGCUCGCCACGGCUCAGUUCAACGCUACCAAAAAAGAGAUGUCAGGGAACGACGUGAAGCACAACUUCUUCAGGCGGCGGCGGUCUACGCAUCGACGGAGCAAGAGUCUUGGAAAGGAACACUGGGACGAAGUCGUGCUAUCGGACAGCAUAAGCAAGUUCCCGGCGUACGAGCGAGUGGUGCUGAAGCAGCCCGGGUUCGUCCGCCCCGUCAUCGUGCUGGGCGCCGUGGCCGACAUAGCGCGAGAGAGGCUUUUGUCUGAGAGCCCGGACAAAUUCUCCUCACCUAAAAUGGACAGCACCCUCGAAGACAGCAAGUCCAAGUCCACCGGCAUCAUCCGCUUGUCCAGCAUCCGCAGCAUCAUGGAGCGCGGCAAGCACGCGCUGCUGGACAUCACGCCCAACGCGGUGGACAGGCUCAACUACGCGCAGUUCUACCCCAUCGUCAUCUUCCUGAAGGCGGAUAAUAAGCACAUCAUCAAACAACUUAGAAGCGGUUUACCAAAGUCAGCCCACAAAUCGUCCAAAAAGCUACUAGAGCAGUGCCAACACAUGGAGCGCGUGUGGGGCCACGUGUUCACGCACACCAUCACGCUGAGCGAGGCCAACCAGAGCACGUGGUUCAGCAAACUGGGCGACCUCAUCCAGCGCACGCAGCAGCAGCAGCUGUGGGUGUCCGAGACUAAGAGGCCUGAGCCGCUGUCUGACGACUUUUUAUUCUCGCUGUCAUCAACCUCGGAGAAUAGACUGUCUUACGCGUCGAGUCCUGAAAGUGACUUGGAAGUGAGUCCGCCGCCAGCGCCGCGCCUCGUCAAGUCGUCGUCUGACCCUUCGAUAGCGACCACUCAAGACAACAUGGACCGCGACGAUGAUAUGAAUCAUUUGGCCGACGCGGUGCCUCCGCCGUAUUCGCAAGGUGGUUACGACAGUAAAUAUGGCUUCGCGAAUGGCAACAGCACGCAGAGCAAUGGUCCCAGCCACAACCAGAAUAUUGCCAGCAACGAGGCACCGCCGUACCAAUGCAACCCCAUGACGCAUUCACCCCCAAAUUCACCACUAUAUGGAACAGUACCAGAGCUGCCCCCGCGCAGUCAGGCGGCGGUGACGCGACCCGCAGGAGGGGUGCUGCUCCCCGCGCCCCCGCCCGCUAGACCGCACCACGGCCUUCGACAUAACCCUUCGAAUCGUCCAAGUGCCCAGGAGCGUCUGUUCGGGCCGCCCAAGGAGGGCAGCGAUGAGACGGCGACGUACAGCGCGCGCCCGGUGCAAGGACAGGACUCACUCGACAGGCAUCGACAUCCUAACAACGCGCAAAAUUCGUACGACGGCGCGCCCAAUUACGAUUACACCGGCAACACGUCAAAUAGCAACUCCAUGGGCUCGUGCCGACUGCCGCCCAACGCACCCGACGACCUCAAAGUUGCUCCGCCCACCAUUAAGUUGGAUCUCCCCCCGCCCGUCAACCCCGCAGCUAUGCCUGGCCAGAGUCCGCAGCGGAACUCCAAUUCUCACGAAAACAACUCUCUCGACUAUAACAGAACCCCUGAGAAUAAUUACAGACCAACAGACAAUUACCGCACUCCGCAAACCCGGCCACCGCCCAUGAACGGUAACAGUCCGCAUGCGCAGAAUGCCCAUAACGCCCACAAUGCGCUCAACACCCACAACGCUCACAACGCCCACAACGCUCACAACGCUCACAACGCGCCCACAACGCCCAUGCACGCGAGAGGUCCUUCGUUACCCAACGUUCCAACUAACGACCACGCUAAAUACAGUGCGCGAACGAACUCGGCGUCGCAGGCGGACUACAGCGGGCGCGCGCCGCCCUACAAGCCGGUGCCGCCGCCCAAGCCGAAGCACUACCGGCCGCCCGACCAGCCGCCGCCGCACCCGCAGCACCCGCAGCACCCGCAGCACCCGCACCAGCAGCAUCCGAGGAACGGGAGCAUGGAGGCAGUGGCGGGCGCGGGCGCCGGCGGGGUGGGGCCGGGCGCGGGGGGCGUGCACUACUCGCACGCGCACUCGCACUCGCAGCCGCACCGCCCGCCGCCACACGCGCAUGUCUACCAUCAGCAAAGCAUGUACGGCGCGGCGGGCGCACAGAUGGUGACGCAGUCGCCUCCGUACGCCGGCCCGCCCUCGCACCGCGCCAUCAACCUGCCUCACAACCCGCAUCUUAUCGAUUUAGCAGGAAGCCGGGAACAACGAGGAUCCGCAUUCGAGCUUUACAGAAAACCACAACACAUGCACAACUUAAGCUCCUCCGAUGCCAUGAACUCCAGUGUGGAGCCGGACGAAACGUUCUCACCAAAAACUAAAAAGAAACUAUCCAAAAAACCAUCGUUCAUUAAAAAUGCCGUCCUCGAUUUGUUCCGUUCGAAAUCGAAAAAUUCACAAAAAGUAUCUCGGCAGAAGUCAUUGUGCGAGAGUGACUUGCAACAGAGAUACCAUCAGCAAGCGCCGAUGCUGAGACGAGAGAAGUCAGACCUCGGGGAUCUGACCGUGCACAUGAGGAAUACGCAAAUAAGAAAUCAAAUGUUGCAACGCAGCAACUCAUCCUCAUGCGAAAAACCAGUCUUGAAACCUAUCCUUAAACGACAGAGUUCGUUCUGUGACGACAGGAACGGCUCUAUAUGUACGAUAAGAGAUUACGACGCCAAGCCAGUUAUGAAAAACUUAAGAAGACAAAACUCUAUGUGCGAAAUAGAAACAGAACCUAAAGUUACCCCGUUACUCCGUAGGCAGAACUCUCUAAUAGAAUAUAAUAGGAGAGGAGUUUACGGCCAGAACUCCAGCUUUAAUAUGAUUACCAAAAUAGAUCCCAUCUACCAAAGACAGCAACAAAUAAAACAUGAACCUUUUUAUCCUACUCAACCACUACCUCCAGAACCGAUGUACCAAAGCAAAGAACAUAUUGUAUAUGAUCCUAUUCCUAAGCCGAGAAGAACUUACACUUCUCUUUAUGAUACCUCCAGUGAGAACCCUUAUGCUAGUAGAUCAGAAAUGUCAAAUCAGAGCUUUGAAAGUCCAUACGGAAAUCGAGAAACGUUACCAAUGCCAUUAUUAGAUCCGCCAUAUGCAACAAGAGCUGAAUGCAUAAUGGACGACCCGUAUGUGACAAAAAAUGAAUUAAUGGAAAAUCCUUACACUAUGAAACAUGACGUAACGAGAAAAAACGAACCUCUGUAUAGUGAACUACCCUACGCUAGUAAAGAACAAAUGUUAAGACAAAGAAUGACUUCUGAAAGUCCUUAUGCAACAAAAGAAGAUAUGUUGCGUCAAAGAUUUUCAGAGUCUCCUUAUAACACAAAGGAAGAAAUGCUUAAACAAAGAAUGGAUGGUACAUUUACUUGCAAAGAACCAAUUUACGGUAAACGAACUUAUGAACCACCACCGAGUACGUCUUGGUCUGAAAAUCCUUAUGCAGUUCGACCAGAUCGAAGACUACAUACACCAGUGAAUUAUCCAGGGAGAAUAUCACCUAUGACAAAAAGCAUGAGUGAACCACCCUAUGCUACUCGAUUAGAAAUGAUUGGAAGAAUAAACCAAACAGAAUCACCAUACUCUACUCGAGCUGAAGUGAAAUCCAGCUGUUCUGACAAUAAUUAUAGCACUAGAAAUGAUUCAUUUGACUUUCCACAACAUAUAAGACCUGCUUCAGCAGAAUGUACAUAUGUUUCAAAACAAGAAAUUUUAUCGCAAAAAGCUGCAUUAUUGGCAAAUAAAGAGUUAAUUUAUGGAACUAAAUUAGAAGAUAAAUUAGAAUUAAUUAAACAAAGAAAUCAAGCUAAAAAAGAAAAGAUUUAUCAGACUAGACUUGAAGCAAAUGAAAGCGAUUCCAUGAAAAGUAGAGAACCUUUGUAUGUCUCUAAGAGAGAAUUGAAAGACAGUGUCAUAUAUGAGUCUCACCAGGAGGCAAAAGACGUACCAUUACCUGUAAGCCAUGAAAGCAGUGCAAGAAAUAGCCCGUAUGAGUUAAGUGACGCUAAUCAUUUAGUGCGACGCGAUCCAAUCUAUCAAACAAAAGCGGAGGCGCAAAACGGUGAAAUUGAUGCUUUCCAAGAGAUAGAUUUCUCCAAAUUAAGGUUGACAGAAUCUAAAACUGACGCAGAGAAAGAAAAAUCAUUAAACACAGAAAAUAAAAUUUUAAAAGGAGAACCUCAAUAUGCUCCAAGAUUACACGGUAAAGCUAUUGGACAUAUUUCUAAUGCACUAAAAGUUACUUCAUCGCCUGUGCCUUAUGAAUCUACAACAUCUAUGGAGACUCAUUAUGCCUCAGAAUGUAGUAUGAAUUUUGAGAACAAACCACAAAGUACUCCAUACACAUCACAAGACUUACUUGAACGUGCCUCUAAGACUAAUCGUACAGUAACUUUUUGUGAACAAAUUCCAGAAAAUCCAGAUAGUCAGGAAAAUUCAGAUAACAUUUCAUCUAGUAGGAACGAAACUACUGUAUUAAGUAACGACAAAACUGUUGUCAAUGCUGAGACGUCAGAUGCGAUUAAUACCGCCAAUAAUACGGCAGAAGUUGAACCAGAUGGCCCUCAAACAACUUGGGGCAUAUUCGACAGUGAAGGUGGCGUGUUAGAGGACAGGCAUUGGGGCGUAUCACUUAUCAUUCCCCCAAAAGCUAUAGCUCCGGGGAUCAAGCAAAAAAUCUAUUUUACCGUGUCCGAUCCACGACUGAGCCAGCGAGUGGGGGGACCACCCAUCGAUAUGGAUAACGUUUCUACCAAACAAUACACUCGUACUUAAAGGUCGAAGAGAGGAGAAGAAGACAGUGCCACCUCCAUCCAACAAUGUGAUCUUAGGUGAAGCGAUGCUGUCCCCACUAGUGAUGUGCGGUCCUCAGGGUCUGGUGUUCCUCAAACCGGUCACCCUUCGGCUGCCGCACUGU